AUUGAACGCUGGCGGCAGGCCUAACACAUGCAAGUCGAGCGGAGCGGGGGACGGGUGAGUAAUGACUAGGAAUCUGCCUGGUAGUGGGGGAUGACGUCCGGAAACGAGCGCUAAUACCGCAUACUAUCAGAUGAGCCUCGGUGGGAUUAGCUAGUUGGUGGGGUAACGGCCUACCAAGGCGACGAUCCGUAACUGGUCUGAGAGGAUGAUCAGCCACACUGGAACUGAGACACGGUCCAGACUCCUACGGGAGGCAGCAGUGGGGAAUAUUGGACAAUGGGCGAAAGCCUGAUCCAGCCAUGCCGCGUGUGUGAAGAAGGUCUUCGGGUUGUAAAGCACUUUAAGUUGGGAGGCGUUACCAACAGAAGAAGCACCGGCUAACUCCGUGCCAGCAGCCGCGGUAAUAC
rnacentral:rRNA from 1 species